AGGUGUGAGGACAAUCUGGCUACAGGCAGCAAAGUUGGUCACCUCAUGUUUCCAGGAUUGAUCCAGCUAAUGUGGCUGGCUAGGCAGCUGUAUCCUUCCUCCCUCACUGCUCCAAGUGUGUCCCUCCCAAAGCUGUGCCCAGACAAAGAGGAUGAUCCUCCCCAACAGAAGAAGGCUGUUUCCCUGCAGGGUAUACCAGCCACUAUACACCCCUGCUAAUACCCAACAGCUCUCUAAUUUUUAAAAAUCUGUUUU
rnacentral:sRNA from 1 species